UCUGUGGAUCGUUACAUCAAAUGAGAGUAGUUGGUAGCAGAGAGAUCAACGUUACAACCAAAUCAGACGGGAUGAAGCAGAAA
rnacentral:ncRNA from 1 species